AACGGGGGGCUAGUGUUAUUCAUCCUAACUGGGCGUAAAGGGCGUGUAGCGGUUUGUUAAGUUUUAUGUAAAUUCUCGGGUUACGCUUGAGAAAACUUAUUUAUACUGAUAGACUAGAGUUUUGGCAGUAAAUCGUAUUCAAAAUGUAGGGGUAGAAUUCGUCGAAAUUUGAAGACCAUCUUCUGGCGAAGGCGGUUUAUGUCAAAUUAAACUGACGCUGAGGCGCGAAAGCAUGGUAUCAAACUGG
rnacentral:rRNA from 1 species